AGGAUGAAAGCGGGGGAUCGCAAGACCUCGCGCGAUUGGAGCGGCCGAUAUCAGAUUAGGUAGUUGGUGAGGUAAAGGCUCACCAAGCCAACGAUCUGUAGCUGGUCUGAGAGGACGACCAGCCACACUGGAACUGAGACACGGUCCAGACUCCUACGGGAGGCAGCAGUGGGGAAUUUUGGACAAUGGACGCAAGUCUGAUCCAGCCAUUCCGCGUGCAGGACGAAGGCCUUCGGGUUGUAAACUGCUUUUGUACAGAACGAAAAGGUCUCUAUUAAUACUAGGGGCUCAUGACGGUACUGUAAGAAUAAGCACCGGCUAACUACGUGCCAGCAGCCGCGGUAAUACGUAGGGUGCAAGCGUUAAUCGGAAUUACUGGGCGUAAAGCGUGCGCAGGCGGUUAUAUAAGACAGAUGUGAAAUCCCCGGGCUCAACCUGGGAACUGCAUUUGUGACUGUAUAGCUGGAGUGCGGCAGAGGGGGAUGGAAUUCCGCGUGUAGCAGUGAAAUGCGUAGAUAUGCGGAGGAACACCGAUGGCGAAGGCAAUCCCCUGGGCCUGCACUGACGCUCAUGCACGAAAGCGUGGGGAGCAAACAGGAUUAGAUACCCUGGUAGUCCACGCCCUAAACGAUGUC
rnacentral:rRNA from 1 species